CCCUAAAAUUCAAAUCAAAAUUGAAACAAUAAGAACCCUAAAAUCCAAAACUCAUCAAUUAAACUUCAAUCACACAUAAUACCGAUCCACAACCAUAUGGAUAUCACUCUAUAACACUCAUACGAUCCAUUGAUAGCAAGAAAUUAAAGAGAACAAUAGGAGUUGACGGUAGCCUACCGGAGCAGAUCGGAGGUUGAAGUGCAGAGAGAACGGUGUGCUUCGAAUAAGACAUUAGAGUGAUGCUACCAUGAAAGUCAAGGGUGAUGACUUGCUUGCAAAUGAAAGAAUCUUGGCCAUGAAGUCAAGCGAGGAGAUGAAAGAAUGAAGAAACAAAGGGACAUGAACUAUGGAUUAAGUUAGUUGACUUUGGUCAACUGGUUGACCAAAAAGUCAACAGUUGCCCAAAAUCAAAUGUAGGUCAAAGUCAUAUUUUUUGUAAUUUUGUAUGGAUCUUGUAAAUUUGGUAUUGUGUAAAUUAAAUGAACACUUGGAUGAAAAUAGUUCUUUAUGAUUAAAUGAAGCAUGUUUUAUUUUCAAAUAACAA